AGUGAACGCUGGCGGUAGGCCUAACACAUGCAAGUCGAACGGCAGCACAGUAAGAGCUUGCUCUUACGGGUGGCGAGUGGCGGACGAGUGAGGAAUACAUCGGAAUCUACUUUUUCGUGGGGGAUAACGUAGGGAAACUUACGCUAAUACCGCAUACGACCUACGGGUGAAAGCAGGGGAUCUUCGGACCUUGCGCGAUUGAAUGAGCCGAUGUCGGAUUAGCUAGUUGGCGGGGUAAAGGCCCACCAAGGCGACGAUCCGUAGCUGGUCUGAGAGGAUGGAUCGCCACACUGGGAACGGGACACCGGCCCGACCCCUAAGGGGGGGAGCAGUGGGGAAAUUUUGGCAAAGGGGGGAAGCCUUACCGCGCCCAGCCGCGGGGGGGAAAAAGGGCCUUGGGUUGGAAAACCCUUUUUGUUGGGAAAAAAAAACAGGUGGUUAACACCCCGCUUUUUGAAGGGAACCAAAAAAAAAAGCACGGGUAAAUUCGUG
rnacentral:rRNA from 1 species